CUAUGUCAAAGUAAUUGAUAUGGCGGAAGGAG
rnacentral:ncRNA from 1 species